GCAGGAGACAGUCCAGCAAAGGGCCAUGAAGAUAAUCAGGUGCUUGGAACAUGUCUCAUACAAGAAGAUUCUCUCAUACAAGAAAGUGAAAUACAAGAAAUUCUCCUUAAACAUAAGAAAAAAAGUUCUUUAUGGAGAGAGGUCUAACACUGGAACUAGAUACCCAGAGAGGUCGUGGAGUCCCAUCCUCAAAGAUAUUCAAAACUCAGCUGGAUAGUGUCCAGGAACAUGUCCUAGCUGCUGCUGCUCCGAGCAGUGAUAUCAGACUAUACAAUCUGCAGAGGUCUACGCCAACCUCAGUGGUUGUCUGAUAUAACUUUUAACACCAGGGUUAUGUAAAUGUCCUACGUAAAAAUCCAGGAACCAUUAUCUUAAAUUCUCUGCUGCUUUAGUGGCUAACCUUCAUCUUCAAAUUUUAUUUCCAAUAGUGUGCUAAUGAGAAAACCACCAGUGGGAAGCAGUCCUUGCUGUUAAAUCUAUUAAACAUGAUUAAAAGAAAGAGGCUGAAGUGCAAUUAAGGGAACUCUGGUAUUGACCAGCCUGAUGGAGCCAUUCACUGCUUGUGCCUGUGCUAUGCUGUCCUGUGCUGUCUGGACACUAGAUACUGGUGAAAUCCUGAACACCCUCUGUACAAGUUGUUCACAAAAUUGUUGUCUUCAUCUGAUUUCCACUUGCAGACCACAAGAUUCAGGCUUUGAUACUACAAGGAAGAGAGCAGUGUAAAAACGUCCCACACUGAACUUCCUAUGCUUAAAGCCUUGCACCCUUACUCACCCAAACGUGACUCUAGCCCAUUCCAGCAACUACAGGUGCUUCAGCAGGGGCUCCACGUGCAUUUUGCUACAUCUCCUGACACUUACAAUUAAGGAAUUCGCCAUUCAAAGCAAAAAUCUGAAACAGAGCCAUGAGAAUUCUUAAGUAUGAAAUCAAUAUAAAGCCAUGCAUAACAAGGUCCUUUCCAACCCGAACUAUUCUAUGAUUUUAUGAUCACACUGAUGGAUGAAGCCAGAACUACAGACAGGAUUUGAAGAACACCAGAUUUUCACAA